GAUGAAGAACGCAGUGAAACGCGAUAAGUAAUGUGAAUUGCAGAAUUUAGUGAAUCAUCGAACUUUUGAACGCACAUUGCGCCCGGCGGCACUCCGCCGGGCAUGCCUGUCCGAGCGUCAUUAUACUGCCCUCGACUCUCCGAGUCGGUGUUGGGAGCCUCUGCGCCUGUGCGCAGCUCCCCAAGUCCACUGGCGUCGCGCCACGGUGCCCCUGCGUAGUAAUUUCACCUCGCUUGGGACCCUGGGUGCCGGCUGCCUUCUCUCUCGCAGCAGGCUCUUUCGAGUCGGCUCCAGCACAGUUGACCUCGGAUCAGGUAGGGUUACCCGCUGAACUUAAGCAUAUCAAUAAGCGGAGGA
rnacentral:misc_RNA from 1 species